UCUAGCUGUGGCAGGCCUCGGCGACUCCAACCAGUUCUUCCGGGACGUCACGGCGGUGAGUGAGGCUUGGGGUCCUCCAGGCCCCUUAAGGGACAGCGGCUGCAGUGAGCACGGUCUCUUUCCCCCAGGACUUUGAGGGCCAGAGUCCCAAAUGCACCCAGGGUGUGCGGGAAGCGUUCCGACAGAUCAAGGACUUGUUCCUACAGGGAGCCUACGACACGGUCCGCUGGGAGUUCGGCACCUGCCAGCCGCUGUCAGACGAGAAGGACCUGACCCAGCUCUUCAUGUUCGCCCGGAAUGCCUUCACCGUGCUGGCCAUGAUGGACUACCCCUACCCCACUGACUUCCUGGGUCCCCUCCCUGCCAACCCCGUCAAGGUGAGGCGCCUCCUCCCAGGGCGCAGGGAGAGGCCGGCUGGAGUGUCCCGAGGCUGGUGGUCAGCGGCCUGACCCUCAUCCUGGGAGCCAGGGAGGCGGAGCUGGUGGAGGGGACCCCGCUGAGUCGCUGCUGCCC
rnacentral:sRNA from 1 species